rnacentral:rRNA from 1 species
UACGUAGGGUCCGAGCGUUGUCCGGAAUUAUUGGGCGUAAAGGGCUCGUAGGCGGUUUGGCGCGUCGGGAGUGAAAACUCAGGGCUUAACCCUGAGCCUGCUUCCGAUACGGGCAGACUAGAGGUAUGCAGGGGAGAACGGAAUUCCUGGUGUAGCGGUGAAAUACGCAGAUAUCAGGAGGAACACCGGUGGCGAAGGCGGUUCUCUGGGCAUUACCUGACGCUGAGGAGCGAAAGUGUGGGGAGCGAACAGG